CGGGCGCUGCGGCGGGGAAGCCGGGUGACCAGCCCUGCGGGCGGCACCCCCGAGUCUCUCCAGGAAUGCUCCCCAUACGGCCCUCCGGCUCCUGCACCUCUAGAUUCUACCCUGCAGACACUUAUACGUGUCCCAUGCAGUGACAAGACGGAACCCUCAUGCAGGUUGGCGGCAGAUGACAGCAAGGCAGCACUCGAAGGCACAGUGUUCAAUAAGCCAGAGGCUGCGGUGGGGUUCAAGGACAGAGGAAAUCCCGGGAAGCAGGGGCACACCACAGCCCCCACUCCGUGUGCUCCCGC